GGUUCUAUGGUGUAGUUGGUAGCACACUGGAUUUUGAUUCCAGCAACCUGGGUUCGAGUCCCGGUAGGACCU